UCCUUUGACGGGUGAGCUUUUGGCCCGGGUUAUACCUGACACUCACGUAUAAGACGAGCAAAAAGCUUGUUGGUCAGAGG
rnacentral:pre_miRNA from 11 species